rnacentral:rRNA from 1 species
AUUGAACGCUGGCGGAAUGCUUUACACAUGCAAGUCGAACGGCAGCACGGACUUCGGUCUGGUGGCGAGUGGCGAACGGGUGAGUAAUGUAUCGGAACGUGCCCAGUCGUGGGGGAUAACGUAGUGAAAUUACGCUAAUAACGCAUACGAUCUAUGGAUGAACGCGGGGGAUCGCAAGACCUCGCGCGAUUGGAGCGGCCGAUAUCAGAUUAGGUAGUUGGUGGGGUAAAGGCCCACCAAGCCAACGAUCUGUAGCUGGUCUGAGAGGACGACCAGCCACACUGGAACUGAGACACGGUCCAGACUCCUACGGGAGGCAGCAGUGGGGAAUUUUGGACAAUGGGCGAAAGCCUGAUCCAGCCAUUCCGCGUGCAGGAUGAAGGCCCUCGGGUUGUAAACUGCUUUUGUACAGAACGAAAAGGUUUCUACUAAUACUAGGAGCUCAUGACGGUACUGUAAGAAUAAGCACCGGCUAACUACGUGCCAGCCGCCGCAGUAA